AUUUCAAUUUUUAAAUAGCACAAUUUUUUUUUUUUGCCGUUGUAAUUUUUUUGCCGUUGGAGUUUAUGGUUUCCUAUUUCUAAAGCAGUUGGUUUCAAUUUCUUUGUUGUUUUUUCGGCGUUCUCUCCGGCUCAAGCACUCUCUCCCAGUCUCCGUACUCAAAGAAAAAAACACUCUCUCGCAGUCUCCUGCGGUCAAUCCCCCUUCCGCCGGAAACGGUCACCAGACGUCGAAUUUCAGGUUAAUGCCGGCAAAAUUUGUUUGCCCUUGGAUUUCCUAUUUCCAAGCAGUUUAAAUUUCCUAUUUCUUUGUUUUUUCGGUGUUCACUCUCACCCCUCAAAAUUCUCUCCGUCUCGAACACUCUAUACCGCGCCAAUCCGCCUUCCGCCGGAAACGGGGACCGGUGGACGUCGAAUUUCAGGUUAAUGCCGGCCCCUAAAGUAGGAUUUGGAGGGUAAAAAAGUUGCAGCCAUGAAGCUAUGAUUGGGGAGGCAAAGUCACUGAUUUAUUCCAUUGUUUGUUCUCGAUCACUUCUUGUCACAGUGGUUUAAUAUCAUGGCAAGGAGGUUCAACACUGUUAGUGUAAGAUGUUAGAUCUGCCAUCAUUCAAGCAUUGUCUGGAAUAAGGAAAGGUUGAGAAGGAUUGGGGUAAGUAGUGUAAGAUGUUAGAUCUGCCAUCAUUCAAGCAUUGUCUGGAAUAAGGAAAGGUUGAGAAGGAUUGGGGUAAGCAGAUUGACAGCAAGAUUUUUUGACUCUGGUGACAGUAAAAGUUUAAGCAGAAACAGUACAGGUUAUUUAUUUAUUUAAAUUUUUAGUUUUCAUUUAUCUAACAUUGUACUAACUAGAACAGAGUAUCCCUAGCUCGUGGUUGAGAAGGAUUGGAGUAAGCAGGUUGUAUUAAAGGCUAAGUGGAAGGUGGAAAAUAAAGAACUUGAAGAAUUGAACAGUGAAACUAAUAGGAAAUUAACAGGUAAAUGACCUUCUCUUAUUGGUGCUCUUUGAUUAAUGAAUUUGAACUUCUCUUCGGUAGGAUCAUGGCAGUAAUCUUUGAUGUUUAUUGCAGAGUGCCAGAUUCUUUGUU